AUUGAACGCUGGCGGCAUGCUUUACACAUGCAAGUCGAACGGUAACAGGGAGCUUGCUCCGCUGACGAGCGGCGAACGGGUGAGUAAUGCGUCGGAACGUGCCGAGUAGUGGGGGAUAACGCAUCGAAAGGUGUGCUAAUACCGCAUACGAACUGAGGUUGAAAGUGGGGGACCUUCGGGCCUCACGCUAUUCGAGCGGCCGACGUCUGAUUAGCUAGUUGGUGAGGUAAAGGCUCACCAAGGCGACGAUCAGUAGCGGGUCUGAGAGGAUGAUCCGCCACAGAGGGACUGGGACACGGGAAAGACUACUACGGGAGGCAGCAGGGGGGAAUUUUGGACAAUGGGCGCAAGCCUGAUCCAGCCAUGCCGCGUGUCUGAAGAAGGCCUUCGGGUUGUAAAGGACUUUUGUCCGGGAGCAAAUGCUGGUGGCUAACAUCCACCGGAGCUGAGAGUACCGGAAGAAUAAGCACCGGCUAACUACGUGCCAGCCGCCGCUGUAAUAC
rnacentral:rRNA from 1 species